rnacentral:misc_RNA from 1 species
AGCAGCCGCGGUAAUUCCAGCUCCAAUAGCGUAUAUUAAAGUUGCUGCAGUUAAAAGCUCGUAGUUGAAUUUCGGGACUAAUAUGUCGGUCGUGCCUCGGUACGUACUGGUUUAUUGGUUUCUCCUUUCUGAAGAACCAUGAUGUCAUUUAUUUGGUGUCGUGGGGAAUCAGGACUGUUACUUUGAAAAAUUAGAGUGUUUAAAGCAGGCUCACGCUUGAAUACAUUAGCAUGGAAUAAUGAAAUAGGACGUUUGAUUCUAUUUUGUUGGUUUCUAGGAUCGACGUAAUGAUUAAUAGGGAUAGUUGGGGGCAUUAGUAUUCAAUUGUCAGAGGUGAAAUUCUUGGAUUUAUUGAAGACUAACUACUGCGAAAGCAUUUGCCAAGGAUGUUUUCAUUAAUCAAGAACGAAAGUUAGGGAUCGAAGACGAUCAGAUACCGUCGUAGUCUUAACCAUAAACUAUGCCGACUAGGGAUCGGAUGAUGUUAAUUUUUAAUGACUCAUUCGGCGCCUUACGGGAA